rnacentral:rRNA from 1 species
UAAAACAGCAAUAAUUUCUUCGAUGGUAACUUACUAUACGGAUAACCGUAGUAAUUCUAGAGCUAAUACGUGCCAUAAACGCGGGCUUGCCCGUGGUGCUAAUUAGAUAACAACACCAACUCAUGGUGAUUCAUAAUUCUCUUUCUGAUCGAGCGCAUAAGCUCGACGCAUCGUUCAAAUUU